UACGUAGGGGGCAAGCGUUGUCCGGAAUCAUUGGGCGUAAAGCGCGUGUAGGCGGCUGAGUAAGUCUGCUCUGAAAGCCCGGGGCUCAACCCCGGGAGGCGGGUGGAUACUGCUCAGCUCGAGUCCGGAAGAGGAGUGUGGAAUUCCUGGUGUAGCGGUGAAAUGCGCAGAUAUCGGGAGGAACACCAGUAGCGAAGGCGGCACUCUGGGCCGGUACUGACGCUGAGGAGCGAAAGCGUGGGGAGCGAACAGG
rnacentral:rRNA from 1 species